UUACCCUUCCGGCUUGGCCUGGGCAAGGUUAUGGACGCCACUUGGUUAUCUUCAGGACUCUUAGUCCAAUUUGUAUCUUGUCCGUACUCGGAUGUAUUUGAUCUUAUGUAUGAUUUGGAUCUUUGUACUGUAUAUCUGUAUCUUGACUCGUUGGAGUCGUUGUUGUAAUAUAUCUGUUUCUUGUGGGCUCUAUUGUAAUCCUGUUGUAAUGUUACCGCUCGUGAUUGAUUCCACCCGCAUCGCGUGCAUGCUUCGGCGUGUACGAGGCGCUUGGUGGUGCGUCUCCUAGAAUCGAUAUCGUGCGGAUUUCGGCGUAUUCGCUGGGAUCCUCAUGGUACCGGUUUUUGGGGCGUCACAAGUUGGUAUCAGAGCAUCAGGUUGACGGUACCCCACUAGUCCAGCCUUUAGGAUAACCUUGCCAACGGUCGUUAAGUUUAGAGAGUCCAAACUAUUUUUUGAAAACUCGUUGGAUAGAUCUGAUUAGCUCUGAUUUUUCUCCUUGUCUAUAAUCUUUCUCCUCUUACCUUUGCCGAGUUUUGAAUCUUCCCUUAUCUGUUUCUCUGAGUCUUAGGCUUCUACGUGGGUUGGGCGAUCUUUGCCCUCACCUAUUAGGUCCGAUCUUCGAAGGAUCCCGACGGAAGCACAUCAUCAACAGUGGAACAACGACUCCUUGUUAGUGGUGUCGACCGAUCAAGCUGGAGCAAGACUUCUUGUUAGUGGUGUCGCGACGAUCUACACGAUGCAUGAAGACCCGAUAGUUUAACCAACUCCCCCUUAGGUUGACGUGGAACCUCGGGGCGAGGUUCCUUGUUAGUGGUGUCGAUUGUAGCGGCCCAGGAUAAUACCCCUAUUAGAUUUUGUUUGUGCAUUUUCUUUUAUGCAUCAUCAUGGCAUAUGCAUCAUAUCAUCCAUGCUUUAAUAAAUAAAAUUAUUUUAUAAAGCCAAACUAUUUUGUUUCUCUCUCUCCACCUCUGCAUUCAAAAUUCAAAUUUGCUUGAACUAUUUUUAAACCAGUUUACAAAACAGUUUUGAAAAGAAAAGAGAAAGAGUUUUUAAAACAAAACCCUCCCCCCUCUAACCAGGCCUCUCUCUGGACCCUCUCUAUCCGGCGGCCCAAUCCCUUUCCCCCUCCUGGCCUGCUUCGUCCUUCCAUCGCUCAGCCCACCUACCUUCUCUUCCUCUGGCCCAACCAAACCCAUCAGACCGAAGGGGUAGGCACCUUUUUCCUGGUUGUCGUCUUCUUCGAAGGUAAGCACGCCGAUGGAGUGAUGGUGCGGUCCUCCACCGCGCCAACCACCGCGCCCUGCUUCCCCCUCCCCUUUUAAUUCCCUUCUGCGCGUCCCCCUGGAAACCCUAGCCUCUCUUCCCAUCCACACCGCCGCCACCUACCUUCCUCCACCUUUCCCUUUCUCUUCUCUGUGAGCAAAACUCCACACCACCGCCUCCACCUCGCCAUGGCGCCGCUGCUACCGGCCACCCCUUGACGAACCGAAGACACCAGGAGAACCGCCUCGUCGAGCUCUACGUCGUGGUGCAAGGAAUCGAGUCAAUACCCCGUAAAUCGAGCGCAAGGUCGUCGUUUCUCCUCCAUGGCUGUCAUGCUCCGGCCACAAUUCUGCCCACUACGGCGAGUCCCUGGACUCUGUAUCGCCACCAUCAGGUUCCUCGUGUGCUGGCGCAUCCCCGACGCUAUCUGCCUCGUCCCGGUUUGCAAGGAACUCGCAGAUCCUUGGUUGUCCUGCUCCUCCGCCAUGGCUGCAGGUUCCAAGCUCGUCCCCGCCUUUCUCUGGUUGAUAAUCUACGCGCACCACAUGUUCAACAAGAUCUGCAGCUAGCCUAUCUGAUCCCCACGCAGAUGGGCCUCGGCCCAGAUCUUCUCUGCAGCCCGUUGCCCCGCGCGCCCAGGAACAACCCGUCGCCGACGCAGGCCUAGUUCUGGCCCAUGUCACGGCAGAUCCCCACGCAGAUGGGCCUCGGCCCAGAUCUUCUCUGCAGCCCGUUGCCCCGCGCGCCCAGGAACAACCCGUCGCCGACGCAGGCCUAGUUCUGGCCCAUGUCACGGCAGCAUUUGCUUCUUCCCGGAUAGGAUCGUGAAGUGGUGUUGUGAGAUAUGACAAGUUCUCCAGAUGUCCCUCGGCAAGCUUUAACAGGC